rnacentral:misc_RNA from 1 species
GAUGAAGAACGUAGCGAAAUGCGAUAAGUAAUGUGAAUUGCAGAAUUCAGUGAAUCAUCGAAUCUUUGAACGCACAUUGCGCCCUCUGGUAUUCCGGGGGGCAUGCCUGCUCGAGCGUCAUUACAACCCUCAAGCUUUGCUUGGUAUUGGACAUUGCCAGUUUCUGGCAGGCCUUAAAAUCAGUGGCGGUGCCAUUUGGCUUCAAGCGUAGUAAUUCUUCUCGCUUUGGAGAUCCAGGUGGUUACUUGCCAAUAACCCCCAAUUUUCUCAGGUUGACCUCGGAUCAGGUAGGGAUACCCGCUGAACUUAAGCAUAUCAAUAAGCGGAGGA